rnacentral:rRNA from 1 species
AACGAACGCUGGCGGCAUGCCUAACACAUGCAAGUCGAACGAGACCUUCGGGUCUAGUGGCGCACGGGUGCGUAACGCGUGGGAACCUGCCCUUAGGUUCGGAAUAACUCCCCGAAAGGGGUGCUAAUACCGGAUAAUGUCUUCGGACCAAAGAUUUAUCGCCUUUGGAUGGGCCCGCGUUGGAUUAGCUAGUUGGUAGGGUAAAAGCCUACCAAGGCGACGAUCCAUAGCUGGUAUGAGAGGAUGAUCAGCCACACUGGGACUGAGACACGGCCCAGACUCCUAAGGGAGGGAGGAGUGGGGAAUAUUGGACAAUGGGCGAAAGACUGAUCCAGCAAUGCCGCGUGAGUGAUGAAGGCCUUAGGGUUGUAAAGCUCUUUUAACCGGGAUGAUAAUGACAGUACCGGGAGAAUAAGCUCCGGCUAACUACGUG